AACGAACGCUGGCGGCAUGCCUAACACAUGCAAGUCGAACGAGACCUUCGGGUCUAGUGGCGCACGGGUGCGUAACGCGUGGGAACCUGCCCUUAGGUUCGGAAUAACUCCCCGAAAGGGGUGCUAAUACCGGAUAAUGUCUUCGGACCAAAGAUUUAUCGCCUUUGGAUGGGCCCGCGUUGGAUUAGCUAGUUGGUAGGGUAAAAGCCUACCAAGGCGACGAUCCAUAGCUGGUCUGAGAGGAUGAUCAGCCACACUGGGACUGAGACACGGCCCAGACUCCUACGGGAAGCAGCAGUGGGGAAUAUUGGACAAUGGGCGAAAGCAUGAUCCAGCAAUGCCGCGUGAGUGAUGAAGGCCUUAGGGUUGUAAAGCUCUUUUACCCGGGAUGAUAAUGACAGUACCGGGAGAAUAAGCUCCGGCUAACUCCGUG
rnacentral:rRNA from 1 species